rnacentral:rRNA from 1 species
UACAGAGGUCCCAAGCGUUGUUCGGAUUCACUGGGCGUAAAGGGUGCGCAGGUGGGUUGGCAAGUUUGAUGUGAAAGCCCCGGGCUUAACCUGGGAACUGCGUUUGAUACGGAUGGGCUAGAGUUCGGGAGAGGAGAGUGGAAUUCCCAGUGUAGAGGUGAAAUUCGUAGAUAUUGGGAAGAACACCGGUGGCGAAGGCGGCUCUCUGGACCGAGACUGACGCUGAGGCGCGAAAGCGUGGGGAGCAAACAGG